rnacentral:rRNA from 1 species
UCGGGAUCUUGAGAGCGGCGUACGGGUGCGGAACACGUGUGCAACCUGCCUUUAUCUGGGGGAUAGCCUUUCGAAAGGAAGAUUAAUACCCCAUAAUAUACUGAAUGGCAUCAUUCGGUAUUGAAAACUCCGGUGGAUAGAGAUGGGCACGCGCAAGAUUAGAUAGUUGGUGAGGUAACGGCUCACCAAGUCUACGAUCUUUAGGGGGGCGGGAGGGGGGGAUCCCCCACACUGGUACUGAGACACGGACCAGACUCCUACGGGAGGCAGCAGUGAGGAAUAUUGGACAAUGGGGGAAGGCUGAUCCAGCCAUCCCGCGUGAAGGACGACGGCCCUAUGGGUUGUUAAACUUCUUUUGUUUAGGAUAAACCUACCC